UGGUACUUCUGCAAGGGAGUGGUUGGAAGACGCAGUUUUUGAAAAGAUACUGCAACAAUGAAUGCGGUCAUGUUUGGGAGCUCCUCGGCUACGGCGGUGUUGCAAGCUAUAUGAGGAAGAGGUCACUUCAGAACGAAGUUAAGUGCUACCGCUCCCUUCCUCAAGGGCAGAGAAGACUGCGACGGCUGAGCAGAGGUUAUGUGUUCGGUCAGUCUGACAAAUCCACAGCUUUGGGCUGAUUGGGAUCUGCUUCCAAUGAGGGCCGGUUAAAUACGUGCACAAUCCAGCUUCGAACGUAGUCCUGCAUGUGAAUUAAACCCUACAAAACACUGUUAAUUUGAAUUUUAUCAUGUAAAACCAGAACCAGUGCACGUCUCUCAGCUGUCCUGCUUUGCUAUCCACAUCCCUCUGUCUUUCAGGCAACCGACUCCUGACUGAAGCAGCCUGCUGUUCAGCUGGCUGUGCAGGGCACAGACCAGUUUUGUUUCAAGCACGUAAGGAGAGGAGCAGAAGAACCACUUUGUUCCCCAGCCCUGCCCCCGGGUGUAUAAAUAGCCGCCUGGGUGGCUGCUGGAGUGCUUCUCAUUCCAGAGAUCUCUGGCCACCCUCUUAUCAAAACAGAAAGACUGACUUCACUCCCACUCUCUGCCGACUGAUUUCAUGCUGGAAACAGUACUAGCACUGUUUCCUUCUUCAUGCAGACCUCUGGGUGGGUUUUGACUCCUGAUGGCUCCACUCUGAACUUCAUUAUGCUCACAGCACCUCUCUGCCUUUUUUUUUUUCUUCCCUCAGGCAUAGCUUAUUGGCAAAGGCAGCUCUCAUCAGACCAACCUCACAGCUUUCUUACCAACUGCUGGCAUAAACAAAAGAAAUGUGUCCUCUCCCAGCUCUAGUGCGGCAUCUGAUGUCCUCCCCCAGUUCUGACGCUGCUGAAGACCAUCAUUUUUACGUAAGGUAUGCAGGAAGACCACAGCAGGCAAUACUGUGAAAUAAAGGCUCGGGCAGAAAGCAGCUGAUGGAGUUUAUAUGCACUCGUAUGUAAACUUAUACAGAUGUAUGCAUAGAUAAAUUAAAAGGUCUGGAAAUCAUUCUUGCUUAAUGUUUUCAUUAGUGAACUAGGCAUAAAUACUACAAGUUUGCCGGUGAAACUUGUGGAUGGUGAAAAGUUGGGAGGCACUAUCGGGAGGGUGGAAAAUCUGAAAAAUGUUAUGGGAAGAAAAUAAACCAAAUGAAAUUUCAGAAGCACAGAUGACUAAAGAAUGCAUAUGGAGAUUGCCAUCAAUAAUUGCUGUUAGUCUGAAAAAGCAGAAGCUGAAAAUAGAAGAAAAGUGGGAAUAAAAUGAAGCAGGCAACCGCAUGGCACCUCUGAAGCACUGGUAUAAUUUUCUUCAGACCGGGAAAUAUCCUGGAAUACAUUGAACAAAAUGUUUCCAGUGGAGAUAUUAAUUCUGUUACUGAAGACGACAUUGGUAAGGUGUUCCCAGGAUGCUAUAUAUGAUUCUGAUGUCUCAUGUUCAGGGAAAAUACAAAUCUGAACAGGUGUAAAGAAAGGCUACUGAGAUCACCAGGAGAGCCACGAUCAUUCCUUACAAACAGAGGCGAGGCAAGUUCAGCUCACCCAGCCUAGGAAAAUUAAGGUUGACAGGGGGUACGAUUUCCAUCUAAAAAUACACAGGAGUGGAACCAUGGAGAGGGAGAAGAACUAUUUAAAUUUGUCUGUGACUAAACUUAGGCUGUAAAUCAGAUGCAGGUUCCUGACCAUUAAAACAAACAGAGGCAAGGACAGCCUUCCAAUAGGAACAGCUGGGACCAAAAAAAAAAAAAAGGCACUAACACUUUAAAGAUGUAAUUUUGGCAGAGAAUAAAAUGCUAUAGCACCUUGGGAGGGAGAGGCAGGGGUUCAAUGAUGCUUUGUGUUCAUCUGAUUCUUGCAUCCACAUGAGGAACAUGUAGGGAGGUGACAGUCUCGAUGGGCAGCAAGAGUUGCAGGAUGUCCCUUUGGUCCCUUCUGUUAUUCUUCAUUUAUGCCCAGUGUUUCAGCCAAAAAUAUUGGCACAGUCCAGGUUUAAUUUUUCUGCAUGUGACACCCAGAUCUACGCGGCAGCUAACCUUGCAAAACUGACAAGGAACAGGAGUUUUCACAAGCAGCACAAGAGAUAUAAAUCACUUUAACAUAAUUCACACAUAACUGUGCUGGAGAGUGUAAAUUUGGUACAAAUUCUUCAAAUGUACAAAUAUGGAUGCCUCUGUUUCUUUUUCUCUCCAUUUCCCUUUGUCAGUAAAGAUUAGAUGUGUUUUAUUUACCGUGGGAAUAGCUAUUACUAGCUUUAAUAUUUUUUUUUGUGGCCAGGGGCUAAAAUAAGAGUUCCUUGACAUGUUUUCAGGUCUCACUGCUCUCAUGGUUAUUUUAUUUUAUUUAUUUGUUUUUCCCCAGAUAAAUAUAAGUUUAGAGGUGGUAGCAAAGGCCUAGAGAGGCUUCUCUAAAUGCUGUUUGUUUGUUUGUUUUUUAAUGGAUUUACCUAAAUGGUUAUAAUGGUUAGAUCAGCCAAUGCAAUAGGCAAGCUGUGUUUAUUUAGUUGAUUUCUAUACAUUGUUGGACCUGUUGAUACACUCAAAUUUCACCAGUUUGGCCUACCUUGAUAUUUGUAUCAGUAUAAAAACAAACAAACCACCAUAUAGGAUCAGCUGCAGUGGUCAUUGACUUACAAUGACAGCCCCAAAGAGCAUUUUCAGACCACCUCUGGCCAAACUGCAAAUGCAUCUUGGGAAAAGGCUGCCUGUGGCUGUCAAUGACUGAAUUAGUGGUGCUGGUGGGAAGAAAGGAGAAACGGUGUCAGGGCUGAGCUGUGCCAGGCUGCUCCCCAGCUGCCAGGCAAAGCGCUCGUCAUGCUCCAGCUUGCACCCAUCCCCUCCCUUGCAAUACCUUACAUAAAAGAUUAGAGGCUGAGCUGCACCUCUUCUCCCAUGGCAUUAAUUAAUGUAAAUAACUGCACGGAUCACUCUGAAGGGUUGGAUGUUUACCUGCCAAGCCCAACAUAAUUGGUGAUUGCGGCGGAUGUCAAGCCUAGCUUUGAGACAUCACUCAGCAAGCCCUUCCCGCGCAGCUGAUGGACUGCAAUUAAACCACACCAAGCCAUGGAUUCCUGCAGAAAGCCUUCCCUGCCAUUAAGGAAAAGGAAACUUAAAAGAGUGAAGAGGGUAGAUGAUUGAAGUAGCUGCUCCUGUAACAUGCUAGGCUGUGUCAAGAAUGGGAAACGUGAAGUCUGAGGGUUUUUUUCCAUGCAUUGGUGUGGUUUAAGGAACAGCAUGGGAUAUGACAGUCUGGGGUAGGGUAAUCCGGUAGUCGAGAGCUGCACAGGAAUUUGGAAGAACUGGUUUCAAUUCUUCCUCUGAGAGUUGAUUCCUUGCACAUAUAAAUGUUUAUUGCCUGUGGACACCAGCUGUAAAUAGUGGCAAAUGCUUCACAGGGACCAGGGGUGGUGUGUGUGUAAAUUGUCCACCUCAUUGGUUUUGUGAUGAUGUUAUGCUUAUUUUGGUGUGGCGAAUUAUUUUUCUUUUUGAUGUAAGAGAAUUUUGUGAAGAGUGUGAUGAUCAU